AAUGAACGUUGGCGGCGUGGAUUAGGCAUGCAAGUCGAGCGAGAACCCUCCGCAAGGAGGGGGACAGCGGCGAAAGGGAGAGUAACGCGUGGAUUAUUUGCCCCCCGGACCGGGAUAGCCGCGGGAAACUGCGGGAAAUACCGGAUGACGUCCCCGGACCAAAUGGUGUGAUUCCGCCAGGGGAUAAGUCCGCGGCCUAUUAGCUAGUUGGUGGGGUAAUGGCCUACCAAGGCAAUGAUGGGUACUGGGUGUGAGAGCACGACCCAGCUCACUGGGACUGAGACACUGCCCAGACACCUACGGGUGGCAGCAGUCGAGGAUCUUCGGCAAUGGGCGCAAGCCUGACCGAGCGACGCCGCGUGUGGGAUGAAGGCCUUCGGGUUGUAAUCCGCUGUCAGUGGGGAGGAAAUGUCUAGGGGUUCUCCCCUAGAUUUGACCUAUCCGCAGAGGAAGUCAGGGCUAAGUUCGUGCCAGCCGCCGCGGUAAAAC
rnacentral:rRNA from 1 species